GCCUUCGUGGUGCAAAGGUCAGCACACUCGACGCGUAAUCGAGACAUCUGAGGUUCGAGUCCCAGCGAGGGCA
rnacentral:tRNA from 1 species